rnacentral:rRNA from 1 species
GCAAGUCGAGCGAAUCUGAUGGGAGCUUGCUCCCUGAUGAUUAGCGGCGGACGGGUGAGUAACACGUGGGUAACCUGCCUGUAAGACUGGGAUAACUCCGGGAAACCGGGGCUAAUACCGGAUAACUUUUUUCUUCGCAUGAAGGAGAAUUGAAAGAUGGCCUCCGCUAUCACUUACAGAUGGACCCGCGGCGCAUUAGCUAGUUGGUGAGGUAACGGCUCACCAAGGCGACGAUGCGUAGCCGACUUGAGAGGGUGAUCGGCCACACUGGGACUGAGACACGGCCCAGACUCCUACGGGAGGCAGCAGUAGGGAAUCUUCCGCAAUGGACGAAAGUCUGACGGAGCAACGCCGCGUGAGUGAUGAAGGUUUUCGGAUCGUAAAACUCUGUUGUUAGGGAAGAACAAGUAUCGUUCGAAUAGGGCGGUACCUUGACGGUACCUAACCAGAAAGCCACGGCUAACUACGUGCCAGCAGCCGCGGUAAUACGUAGGUGGCAAGCGUUGUCCGGAAUUAUUGGGCGUAAAGCGCGCGCAGGCGGUUUCUUAAGUCUGAUGUGAAAUCUUGCGGCUCAACCGCAAGCGGCCAUUGGAAACUGGGAGACUUGAGUGCAGAAGAGGAGAGUGCGAUUCCACGUGUAGCGGUGAAAUGCGUAGAGAUGUGGAGGAACACCAGUGGCGAAGGCGACUCUCUGGUCUGUAACUGACGCUGAGGCGCGAAAGCGUGGGGAGCGAACAGGAUUAGAUACCCUGGUAGUCCACGCCGUAAACGAUGAGUGCUAAGUGUUAGAGGGUUUCCGCCCUUUAGUGCUGCAGCUAACGCAUUAAGCACUCCGCCUGGGGAGUACGGCCGCAAGGCUGAAACUCAAAGGAAUUGACGGGGGCCCGCACAAGCGGUGGAGCAUGUGGUUUAAUUCGAAGCAACGCGAAGAAUCUUACCAGGCCUUGACAUCCUCUUGACUCCCUAGAGAUAGGGAUUUCCCUCCGGGACAGGAGUGACAGCGGUGCAUGGUUGUCGUCAGUCGUGCCUGAAAUGUGGGUUAAUCCCGGACGAGCGCAACCUUGACUUUAUUGCCACAUUCAUUC